UCUUCUUAUCUUAUUUGCACAUUAUUUUCACUAUUCUCAAACUUUCUCUCUGGCCGAGUGACCGUCAAGCAAGGGAUUUCUUCUAACACCACACUACAACAAUGCCCUAUCAAUCUCAAUGUUGCUAUAUCAGCCGUUAACCAAGUUCACCUCUUUGUAGAGGAAGAAGAUUCGUUAGCUACUCCAACUUUUGAGAUUCUAAACAGGUUGUCGUAACCAUCAAAAAUGCACUUCUUGACUUCCCUUCCCAGCUCAUCAAAACCGUUUCAAAAUUUGAGAUGAUGAGGCUCAUGCAUUUGCUUUUGUUCUUGGUUUCUUUCUACUCUUUCCGUCUUAAAAGAACCUCGGCAAAAACACCAGGACAUUAAAAAAAUGAUUACUUGAUUCAGAUGGCUUCAUUACCGGAUGUUAUAUUAUUGUUGCAAUGUUGAACUCAGUAGUAGCUUGGUAGGAGUCUGAAAUUUGGCGUUGCUAAUGUGAGAACUAAUCUAUUAUUUUAUUUUGUUUUUACACAUAACGUA